rnacentral:rRNA from 1 species
AUUGAACGCUGGCGGCAUGCCUUACACAUGCAAGUCGAACGGCAGCACGGACUUCGGUCUGGUGGCGAGUGGCGAACGGGUGAGUAAUAUAUCGGAACAUACCUUGUAGUGGGGGAUAACUAUCCGAAAGGAUAGCUAAUACCGCAUACGCUCUAAGGAGGAAAGUGGGGGAUCGCAAGACCUCAUGCUAUAAGAGUGGCCGAUAUCUGAUUAGCUAGUUGGUGAGGUAAAGGCUCACCAAGGCAACGAUCAGUAGCUGGUCUGAGAGGACGACCAGCCACACUGGAACUGAGACACGGUCCAGACUCCUACGGGAGGCAGCAGUGGGGAAUUUUGGACAAUGGGGGCAACCCUGAUCCAGCAAUGCCGCGUGAGUGAAGAAGGCCUUCGGGUUGUAAAGCUCUUUUGUCAGGGAAGAAACGGUUGUGGCUAAUAUCCAUGGCUAAUGACGGUACCUGAAGAAUAAGCACCGGCUAACUACGUGCCAGCCGCCGCGGUAACAC